rnacentral:lncRNA from 1 species
UGAAAAUAACAUAAACAAGAGGCUGUCACAACGACAGCAAACCGGAUUUAUCAAUAUUUAUUUGUGUCCUGGCAAUAUCACAAGAACCAUUACUGAUGAAUGGUGAAAGUGAAAAUCGUCAAUAUCAAAUUUGACCUCCAUUUUGUCAUCAGUAUCAACAUAUUAAAAUUUGAAAAGCUUAGAUUGAAUGGUUCAUGAGUAAAUGCAACAAUGUGAAUGGAAACGCCAUUUUACAAUCUUUCAAGAACCAUAACUCCUGAACGGUAAAAGUCAAAAUCGUCAUUAUUGAACUUGACCUCUAUUUUGCCAUCAGUAACAACAUAUAAAAAUUUCAAAAGCUUUGGUUGAAUGGUUCAUGAGAAAACGCACGGACACGACUGGAAACACCAUUUUUCAAUCUUUCAAGAACCAUAACUCCUGAACGAUAAAAGUCAAAAUCGUCUUUAUUGAACUU